rnacentral:rRNA from 1 species
UCCGUAGGGUGCAAGCGUUAAUCGGAAUUACUGGGCGUAAAGCGUGCGCAGGCGGUCCGCUAAGUCAGAUGUGAAAUCCCCGGGCUUAACCUGGGAACUGCAUUUGUGACUGGCGGGCUAGAGUAUGGCAGAGGGGGGUAGAAUUCCACGUGUAGCAGUGAAAUGCGUAGAGAUGUGGAGGAAUACCGAUGGCGAAGGCAGCCCCCUGGGCCAAUACUGACGCUCAUGCACGAAAGCGUGGGGAGCAAACAGG